rnacentral:rRNA from 1 species
AGUGAACGCCGGCGGUAGGCCUAACACAUGCAAGUCGAACGGCAGCACAGGAGAGCUUGCUCUCUGGGUGGCGAGUGGCGGACAGGUGAGGAAUACAUCGGAAUCUACUCUGUCGUGGGGGAUAACGUAGGGAAACUUACGCUAAUACCGCAUACGACCUACGGGUGAAAGCAGGGGAUCUUCGGACCUUGCGCGAUUGAAUGAGCCGAUGUCGGAUUAGCUAGUUGGCGGGGUAAAGGCCCACCAAGGCGACGAUCCGUAGCUGGUCUGAGAGGAUGAUCAGCCACACUGGAACUGAGACACGGUCCAGACUCCUACGGGAGGCAGCAGUGGGGAAUAUUGGACAAUGGGCGCAAGCCUGAUCCAGCCAUACCGCGUGGGUGAAGAAGGCCUUCGGGUUGUAAAGCCCUUUUGUUGGGAAAGAAACCCAGCUGGCUAAUACCCGGUUGGGAUGACGGUACCCAAAGAAUAAGCACCGGCUAACUUCGUGCCAGCAGCCGCAGUAA